GUGGACCUCCCGCAGGCAUGCCUGCGGGAGGUCCGCCAAAGCCGUGGGAACAGCAGAGCCUCUGCAGGCAAACCUCCAGAGGCAGCCUGCCUGCCAUGCUUGGGGUGGCAAAAUCCCUAGAGCUGCCCCUGCCUAUAGAAGGUCUGCUUU